GGUGGCUCAGUGGUAGAGUGCUUGCCUCACAUGCAUGAGGUCCUGACUUCGAUUCCUCAGCACCA
rfam:Dipodomys ordii contig_9273, whole genome shotgun sequence.